UCGCACUGGUUGUCGUGGAGCCCAGUGGGGGCCUCUCACGGAGGCCCGCCUUCCUCCUCCCUGGGGCCCGGAUGCCUCAUCCUUUCCUGUGCCCAGCCAACUUGGUACCAGGCUGAGGAAGACUUGGGAGAAAUGCAAGAGAAAGACCCAACGCCUGCCCAGCCAGCCUUCUCCGCCCGAGAGAGCAAAUGUUCACCAUGGCCUCCAGCCUUGAAGCCUGAUUCAAGGCUCUGAACAAGGUGAAGCUGGCACACACCGCAGAGAGAUGAAGAGCUGGCGAGAGAUUGAGGGGCUAAAGGGGAGCCCCGGUCCUCAUCCCAUCCUGAGCAGUUCACCCUACUGCUGGACGCAAGUUCCUCGAGGGUGUCGGGACGCAAUCCAGAAUCCAGGGCCUGGCUCCAGGGCACAGAGUGAAAUCCUGAGGCUGGACCCUUCCUUGUCCGGGAGCUGGAGGCCAGUGUCCUAACCCCAGUGCUCAGGAGCCAGAGUCCCGGGGCACCUGACCAGACCCUAGUCCCUCCCUCCCACUCCGCAGCCAACUCCACCUUCUCUGCUAUCAAACAGCCUCCUACCACAUCCUCCUACCACAUCUUCAUCCUCCAACAAGCCCAGCCGGUUCCUGGCACAGAACCCAAUGCCUCGGGUCCCCCGUUAGAGCGCAGCCCUUGGCAGCCAGGUGGGUGCCUCCCGUAGCUCUCACCUGUGGACGUUCACCAGCAUCUCGGUCCCCAC